ensembl:lncRNA
CAGAAUUUCUUCAUACUUGCUUUUCACAGAGAUUUUGUUGUGUCUUUGUGUUAUUGAAGGAUCAUUUCCACUUACAAUGGAACCUUACCUGACCACCGAUUACCUGAAGAAGCUUUUUGAACCAGCUGGAAGUGUAUUUGUUGCCUUUUUGUUUUUGAUUAUUUUCCAGUUUGUGUUUAAAGUGGAUUUUGAAUGUCCUUGUGACCCUAAGGAAAAUUCUCAAGUCUGCGCAAUUUACAUGAGUCUACCUGUCAUCUCUCUUUGUAUUAUAGUGAUCAUUACUGAAAAGAGCACAAGGAGCGUUUUCUGCAACAAUGGAACAGGAACAAAAUACAAGUGCAUUGUUUUUUUUAUGUCAGUAAUUAAAGGACUAUCUGUAGCGAGCCUGUGGAUUAUUACAUUAUUGAUUGAUGGGGACUGGUAUGUGUGUCUUAAAACAACAAACUAUCACUUGCCUCCUGAUGAGCAAAUCUUUUGCAAAAAGAUCCAAACCGCUAUUGAAGCUGCAGAAAUCAGAGUCCAAAAAAGUUUCUCACGCGAAAUCGCCAUAUUGGUUUUAUUUGCAGUAAGUGUCCUUUGGAUAUUCAUAGCUAUAAGACAAUUUCACUGCAUGCAACCACUUGCAUAUCAGUAUAAUAAGUUUCUGCUGGAGGAGACCGACCUCUAUAUAAUAAAGGAAUUGAAAAAACUGGCUGAAGGCACAGCAAAGACAAGAGGACAGCAACAAAUACAAAAUGUCAAAGAAAUUCUAGAACUUAGUCCUCAGCCAGAGUGUGUUGUCCUUGCAUCCUUUAAACUGUAUGCCCAAACAUCAGAACCACAGCAGACAGCAACUGUAAAACACAAUGUUCCAGAAACACAGCAACUGGAGGAUGUUCUGCUCACAAAUGUUCAAAUCACUGCAAAACAAACGGAACAACAGCAGCCAGAGCCGGUUCUGCUCACAAAUGUUCAAAUCACUGCAGAACAAACAGAACAUCAGCAGCCAGAGCCGGUUCUGCUCACAAAUGUUCAAAUCACUGCAGAACAAACAGAGCAACAGCAGCCAGAGCCAGUUCUGCUCGCAAACAUUCAAAUCACUGCAGAAACCAAACAGAACAACAGCAGCCGGUGAAGAUUCUGACUAAGAAAACCCAGAGCUGCUAGUUGAAUCAAACACAUCUACAUCAUCAGAGCAUGCCAGGCAAACAGCUAACAGUCUACCAACUGUUACAACCCUUUUUUAUUUUUUUGUCUCUUUCUUUUGAAAGUGUUUGUGUCCAGGGGCUCUGCUGAUUGGCUCCUGCAGGCUGAUGACUUGUUGAUUCUGACUGGUGCAGUCGACUCCAGGCACACCUUAAAAGCCCUGAUGUCAGUUCCUUUGUGGGUGUUGGGGUGUUUUGGCUGUGUGUGGUUAAACAAGUUUGCGCUGUGAUUAUUGUUUGUUCUUUGAAAGUGAAGCAGUUCUGGUUUUUGACCCAAUUGACUGUUGUACUUGACAUUGUUCUGGAAUGCCCCUUAUAAGUUUGCUUAACUUUGUAAAUAAUUUGUAUAUAAUUGUAAAUAGUGAAGGUAGGGAGACUGACGCCAACUUUUUUUAUUGUAAACUCUUUUGGACUCUGUUUUUGAUUAGGGAGCUGAGAAAGUAUAUUGUAUUUUGAUUUUGAUAUUCUUUUGUAAGGGUUUAGAAAAGUGAUGGUUUUGUUUGUUAUUUUGGCCUUGUCAGAGAUUUCCCUAUAUUUGCCUACUGGAUUUUCCUUUUGUUUGUUAUCAUUAAAUCUCAGGAAAAACAAAACAGAUCCCUUGCUUCCACUCUCUCAUUUAAUGCCG